CUUGAAACAACUUCACUUAGCCUGCAUCCACUUCCUGCUUCUAAAAAGCAACAGUUUGUCCUGCAUAAUCACCAACACAUCACUUGUCACUGGCAUUUUUCCCAGCAAAUGUAAACAUGCUCUGCUAACCUCACUGCUCAGAAACACUCUUAGCUUAGUGCGAGGUUGCAGACCUUUUUUUUUUUCAAUCUUGGCAGAAAAUAAAAUUAUAAAUUUAAAAAGUUGUUAGACAGGUCUGUCCUCUUCUUUUUCAGAAGCAAAGACAAACAGCCGGGACCCAGAAUUGUCCGUUUUGUGGAGAAUGCCCAGCUCUUGGUCUCUGAAAACCUUCAAGUGCUUCCAAAUCAUCUUUCAAAAUUCAGCUGGACCUGUCUUCCACCUGAGCUGUGCUCUACAUGACCUCGUCUAUCCUCUCUGCACUGGACAUCACAGACACUGCACUUGCUGAUCUCUUUCAUUGACGAACCAACUAAUGGAUGUCGCAUUUGUCCACACGUCUCCCCGCUCUGCGUUCUGGAGACAGAUCAGAGCGCAUCCGUGACCCUCCUCGCAACAUGAACUCAAGCUGGGGGAUACGUAGAACAAAAGAGUAACCAUUCAGCUGACCGUCAGCUGGCCAACCCCUGAUUUUUGGAGGGGAAGCAAAAAGAAAAAGAAAAAAAAAGAGGAAGGCGGCAAAGAAAAAUUCUUCAAAAAUGCCCAAACGAGGAGAGGAGAUGCAGCGAGAUCUAUGGACUUCUCUCCUGCUAGUGUGGAUUACUUGUGUGCCGUACUCUUCCAUGGCUCCGUUAAACAAUCAGUCACAAAGUUUACAAACGGCAUCAGCCAUGAUCCCGCGAAACCGGCCAAGCGAAGGACAAAGAAUCCUCAGUCGUGCCAAGAGAGGAUGGGUUUGGAAUCAAAUGUUUGUGUUGGAGGAGUUCUCUGGACCCGAUCCAAUUCUGGUUGGCAGGCUCCAUACCGAUUUGGACGUGGGCAGUAAGAACAUCAAGUAUGUGUUGGCGGGCGAAGGGGCGGGCACCAUCUUCGCCAUCAAUGAGAGGACGGGAGACAUUCACGCCAUGAAAAGGCUAGACCGAGAGGAAAAGGCCGAGUACACACUCACGGCGCAGGUCAUCGACAGAGACUCCAACCAACCUCUGGAACCGCCGUCAGAGUUCAUCAUCAAAGUGCAAGACAUCAAUGACAACCCCCCACAGUUCAUCGAGGGGCCUUACAAAGGUUCUGUGCCAGAGAUGUCCCAAGUGGGUGCAUCAGUGACAAGAGUAACGGCAAGUGAUGCGGACGAUCCGGUCUAUGGAAACAGUGCCAAACUGGUCUACAGUAUUUUGGAAGGCCAGCCGUAUUUCUCCAUCGACCAAACCACUGCAAUCAUUAGGGUGGCUCUGGCAGGGAUGGAUCGGGAGAUGAGGGAAGAGUAUCUUGUGGUCAUUCAAGCUAAAGACAUGGGAGGUCAUAUGGGUGGCUUGUCAGGAACCACUACUGUGACAGUCACUCUUACUGAUAUCAACGACAACCCACCAAAGUUCACAAAAGGUUCUUAUGAGUUCCACAUACCUGAAGAUCUUGGCAUCGGGAAACCUGGAGGAAGAGUAAAAGCGAAUGACAGAGACAUCGGGGAAAAUGCUAAAUCAACUUACACCAUCAUAGGUGGAGAUGAGAGGGAUGUUUUCGAGAUUGUCACUGAUGCUCAGACUCAGGAGGGAAUCCUCAGACUCAAGAAGCCUUUGGACUUUGAGUCAAAGGAAUUCUACAACCUAACAGUGGUGGCCACCAACAUUCGAGCCGAUUCCAUUACGGGUGGGCCCUACAUGGACCAGGCCACCAUUAAAGUCGUCGUUCAGGAUUCGGAUGAACCCCCAGUCUUCACGAAACCAUCAUAUUUGUUUGACGUGCACGAAAAUGCUGCAAUCAACACAGUCAUAGGAGCCGUAGCAGCAAGGGACCAGGAUGCCACACACAGCCAAGUCAGGUAUUUCAUCGAUAGACACACAGAUUUGGAGAGGCAGUUUAACAUUAACGUUGAUGACGGGAAGAUCACAUUAGCUAAACCUCUGGAUAGAGAGACGGAUAUGUGGCACAAUAUCACAGUGACAGCCACGGAAGUUCAUAACCACAGCCAGAUUUCCAGAGCCAUCGUGGCAAUCAAAGUGCUGGACAUAAACGACAACGCCCCCGAGUUCGCCACCGAAUACGAAGCCUUCCUUUGUGAAAACGGCAAACCCGGACAGGUGAUUCAGACCAUCAGUGCUGUGGACAAAGACAAUCCUUCCCAGGGACACACUUUCCACUACCGCCUGGAGAUGCUAAACAAUCCCAAUUUCACCAUCAAAAACAAUUUAGAUAACUCGAUCAGCGUUCUUGCCAAGCACGAUUCCUUUCGGCGACAGAAACAAGAGACGUACCUCCUUCCCAUCGUCGUGACUGACGACGGAGAGCCUCCGAUGAGCAGCACCAACACGUUAACAAUCCGGGUGUGCGGCUGCAGCAGGGAAGGCAUUGUGCAGUCGUGUAACGUGGAGGCUUUUGUUCUACCUAUUGGUCUCAGCAUGGGAGCUCUGAUUGCUAUUCUAGCUUGUAUAAUUCUACUACUCGUCAUCGUGGUCUUGUUUGUGACUUUGAGGCGACACAAGAACGAGCCGCUGAUCAUCAAAGACGACGAGGACGUGAGAGAGAACAUCAUCCGUUAUGAUGACGAGGGAGGCGGGGAAGAGGACACCGAGGCCUUUGACAUUGCCACCCUGCAGAACCCAGAUGGCAUCAACGGCUAUCUGCCCAGGAAGGACAUCAAGCCUGACCUGCAGUUCAUGCCAAGACAGGGCCAGCACUCGGGUCCGAACGGAGUGGACGUCGAUGAAUUUAUCAACGUUCGGCUGCAUGAGGCGGACAACGACCCUACAGCUCCGCCAUAUGACUCCAUCCAAAUCUAUGGCUACGAGGGUAGGGGAUCAAUCGCAGGCUCCUUGAGUUCCCUCGAAACAGCUUCCUCGGACUCAGACCAGAACUAUGACUACCUUAGAGAGUGGGGGCCGCGCUUCAGAAGACUGGGCGAACUCUAUUCGGUGGGCGAGAGCGAUAAAGAGACUUGA
rnacentral:lncRNA from 1 species